rnacentral:rRNA from 1 species
CCUACGGGAGGCAGCAGUGGGGAAUAUUGCACAAUGGGGGAAACCCUGAUGCAGCGACGCCGCGUGAGUGAAGAAGUAAUUCGUUAUGUAAAGCUCUAUCAGCAGGGAAGAAAAUGACGGUACCUGAGUAAGAAGCCCCGGCUAACUACGUGCCAGUAGCCGCGGUAAUACGUAGGGGGCAAGCGUUAUCCGGAUUUACUGGGUGUAAAGGGAGCGUAGACGGCAGUGCAAGUCUGGAGUGAAAGGCGGGGGCUCAACCCCCGGACUGCUCUGGAAACUGUACGGCUGGAGUGCAGGAGAGGUAAGUGGAAUUCCUAGUGUAGCGGUGAAAUGCGGAGAUAUUAGGAGGAACACCAGUGGCGAAGGCGGCUUACUGGACUGUAACUGACGUUGAGGCUCGAAAGCGUGGGGAGCAAACAGGAUUAGAUACCCCGGUAGUC